CAUUAGUUGUGAAUUUGUCCAAGUUUGAGCUUCAAGACGACCCUACAACACUUUUAUAUGCCUUGAAGACCCAAAUUCCAACAUCAUCAGGCAAAUACAAGAAAGAAAUAACUUCAGAAAGAUUAUGGGAUCCUUAUAUAUAAGUUAAAAAGUCAUAAAAGAACAAGAAAGUUUUUUCGUAUUUUUUUUUGUUUUUGUAACUUUUCCAUACAAGCUUCAUUUCAGUUUAUAUUUCACAAAAAUGUCAUAAAUAUCACAAUAAUAAUGGCCAAUAGACAGUUGAUAUUUCCAAA